AAAAAAUGAAUAAAUAGAUAAAUUAUAGGCCAAGAAAUUUCAGAUCAUUUUAUUUCAAAUUUGUAUCUCAGAAACAGAAAGUAACUAUUUCAUAUUUAAGCCAAUUAGGUUGAGUAACUGCAAAGAAGUUGGUAUUGAAUGAUUUCCAAUAUGGUAUAGAAACCAAACAGCUAUUCCAACUGGCCUGGAUCUGGUGAAAGACUAAUUUGAUUGUUUCAUUGAAAAAGCUGCCAGCUCCAUGACAAAUAACAAAUUAAAACAUUUUAAAUGAAAAACAUAAUAGUUCUUCAUCACAAUUUGUUGGCAUAUUUACAUCUAAUGUUUUCUUAAAUAUCUCCCCAUUAUUCUUUUUGUCUGUCUACUAUACAUUAAAUUAGUAAGCUUAUUACCUCCAGUAUGUAUUUGGACUUUAUUUUUUUUGCCUAACUUUAUGAAAAAUUUUCUCAAUUCCCAUCAUUGUUGGGAUAAUAGGUAGGGAGCAGGGAGAACAGUCAGACCAACCUAUUUUUUUGAUUUUCAGAGCAAGUUUGAAUUUUUAAAAGCAGUUAUAAUAAUAAUAGUGAGCUACACUUACAUAAUUCUUUUCAUGUUUGAGGCACUGUUUUAACAUUUUUUCCACCUUAUCACCUCAUAUAAGACAACAAUCAAAGAGGAAUUCUUAUGAUCCCCAUUUUUUUAAAAUGAGAAAACUGAGGCACAGAGAUAUUAAGUGACUUGCCCAAGACUACACUCUUCCCGAGUGUGAGAUCUACGGUUUGAACCCGAAGACUCUGACUUCAAAACCCAUGCCCUUUCCCUUUAUAACAGAUGGCAUUUGCAUCAGCUGUGAGAGGAGGCCUUACACUGAUCCUCAGAGAACACAGUGUAAUGGUACAGCAUCAUGGGAAUCCUAUAUAAUUUCAGUUCUAUGUGAGAGAGUCAUGAAGUCACAAGAUGAGUCAGAGGAAUCCCUUUAAAUCAUCAGUUUUAGUUGAUGAUUUGGGGUGAAGUUGUUUUUAUGUUAUGCAUAGAUAUUAUAUUAGCAGACUAUGAAAUAUAAGAAUUUUAAGAUACAGUGAUGGACUUCAAAAAGCUUUCUAAUCACUUUGAGAUAUAUUGCCAGACCUGCCCCCUGGGAGGAAAGUAUUCCCUCUUCUCUUCCAAAAGACACUUAGGUGGGGAAAGUUUUAGAAGUGUGGAUUUGAAUGAAUGAAUUCUGGUAAAACUAUGACAUUUCCCAGAAUUAAAAAGUAAAGUUAUAAAAAUACAGCCUAAUGAAACCACAAAGGUCACAAAGCCCAUUUUACAGAUGAGAAAACUGAGAGUGAGAAAUCAGCAACUGAUUCAAGACUCUGGAAAUGUUUCUGAACACGGCUAUGAUGACUUCUUGGAUUUUCAUACUCUCAGUACUUUGUCCAGGUGUCUCUUAAAUUAUUGAAAAAGUAGUACUAUAACUAAUGCUAGGUUUUAUCAUUUUCUCGAUAAAUUAGCUGUUUUUCAUAUAUGUGAAUGAGCAGCUAAUUCAGCCAGGAUGGUGAAAGGCAUAAGCAUAUUGACUACAAAGUUUGAAAGCAUUUCCAAAUCACAUUCCCAUAAAAUCACAUAGAAUGGACUAUAGCUAAAUGUUUUGUUACCACUAGAUUUUGCAGUCUGGUCUUUUAUAGACUAACUCUAAAAAAAUUACCCAAUUUUGUUUUCUUUUGUCCUCUAAACCACUACCCUUUCCUCACGAAGACAGAGUGAAAGCAAUUACUUUCCUGGGGAAAGAAUCAGUUUCAUGAUUGCGAACUCAGUGCAAGUCCUAGCUUUUCCAAUUUCAUUCAGCAAAUAUUUAUGCGAUUUCUGAUCUAGGUCAGGUCAGUUUAUCUUUUGGCCUCAUUUUGCUCAACUACGAUGUGUAUGUGCUUAAAAACGGAGACAAGGGAACAACUUAUUCAACUAUAUCCUUAUAGCUGUUAGUUUUAAGGGGUUUCGAGUACAGAUAGAUGAAGCCAAUGGGCCAAGUUGAACAAAACUCUCCUAGAAAUCUCUUUAUUUUUGGAGAGGCAAAUGCUAACUCUUAGAAUCUGUCUUUAUUAGAGUUUUAUUUUUCUUUCUUAUUUCUUAGAAGAACUAAUCUAAUUAAUACAACCAAAUAAUCCACCUUUGAAAAGUCAGUGUUGAGGCUCUGUUUCAACACGUGGCCAAAUGAUCAUUUGCAAUCGAUCUAGACAAUCAUUAGGAAAACUCAGAUGACUGAGAGUCCAAAAAUCAUAAGCUGAUGUAACAUUCUAAGUUAACCAAGUAAAUUAUAAAGGGGCCACUUUUAAACUUCCCUUUAUGCUAAGUACAGACUUUUUUAAUAGUAAUUUUAUUCCAUGCUUUUAUAUAUCCCAUGUGGUUUUGAUUGGCUAACUAAAAGAGAAAAAAAUAAACAAAUAGUGAAGGGAAUCAGAACGAAUGGAUAAAGAGACCUGAACCUAAAUAUAUUUAAACACUGUUAAUAUAAUCAAAUGUUUGCCUCAAGAGAUACUUAAACUUAUAAGAGGUUAAAUAGGAAGUAUAUGAUCAGAUAUGUGUUUUAGAGUAAUUUCAGGAUGGCAUAAAAUUUGAAUUUUGAAUGAAAAUGAGAAUAAAUAUGCUGGGUGAUUAUUGUGGGUGACAAGUGUUAGGUUGCAUACCAAGUAGAUAAAAUUUUACUAGAUCUUUUAAUUACCUUGGAAUAGAGAGAAUGUGCUAAAAUUGACUACUUCAUACAUUUCUUUGAACCAAUCAUUUAAAAAGGGUCUAUUUCUCUUAGAUCGACUAUUAUCGCUUCAUUUCUCCCUAAAAAUGUCUACACUAAAUCUGUUUAAUUUUUCUGUCUAUAGCAUCGCUUUGGGCUAAUAUUCUCUGUGGGAACUCUUUGCUGGUAAAAGAGGACAUCGUUCUUCCUUUUUGUUUAUCUUAAAGAUGCUCCUUAUUCUGAUAACAAGAUACAACAUGGGUGGAUCUUGAAAACAUUCAACAGUGUAUGAAAUACCUAAAACAGGCAAAUUUGUAGAAAUAGAAAGUUGAUGUUGGUUACUAGGAUGUUGGGAGGGGUAAAACAGAGGGCUUAAUUGUUUAAUGGAUACAACAUUUCUAUUUGAGAUUAUGAAAAAGUUCUGGAAAUAGGUUACAAAACAUUAUGAAUGUACUUUAUGCCACUGAAUUGUACACUUAAAAAUAAUUUAAUAGGUUAAAAAAUAGCCUGUUUUUCUAGGUCACCUGUUAUCUCUUAAUUUUCUCCCUAAAAUAUUAUCCAGUUUCAUUCACCUAGGUCUAGAAGAUUUUAACCAAACAAUAUCAUAUUUACUCAUUAGAAUACACCUUGACCAUUAAUUACAGACCUGUACCCUGAUCCUAUUUUUGUUACUAUUCCUUUGAAUAUUUAGACAUCAUCUAAUUGUUGUAUCGAAAAUUUUAUUUCAAAAUUGGAUGAGCAAUUUUUUUUAAUUUUCUCAUUUUCCGGAUACAAAAAGAAAGAAAAAAUUAUUUUAUCAAACAUCUAUUUUGACCAAUUUUAGAAUUAAAGGCAUUGUCUAUAUUUAGGUUGUGAUCAUUAGUGGAUUAAUUAUUUGUAAUUGCAUUUUGGGACUUCCAAAAAUAAGUUAUCACUAUUACUGUGUUAACGUAUGACAAAACAACUAUAUUGCACACAAUGAUAUUUUUUCUCAUUUGUAGUACCAUACAGUAAUUUUUAGCUACUGGCUGAAUAUUUUUAGCUCUUGACUGAAUAGAUACUAAUAUAUGUUCUUUUUUGAGAAAAUAAAUGAGCUAAGAUUCUUUGUUUGAAAUGAUGACAGUGUCACUGAGAAUCUAAGAAAAUUCAGUAAAGGGGAAAACUGAGUUUAGUUCUUAAUACAUCAAGUUUCAGCUAUUACUGGAUUUUGUUGGUAGUCACUGUUUUCAGAAUUGUACAGCCUUUGCCUCAAGAUUUUGGGGUUUUUUUUGUUCAUUUUGGUGCUUUAAUAUUAAUUGAAUGAAUUAAUAAAUGAUCACACUUUUAUGGUAUAUUUGUUCAUAAUCUAUUAUUUAAUAGGACUGUACUUUGAAUUAACUUUAAGAGUACUUCAUUGAACUUUUAUUGUGGGAGUAUGUAAGUGAGAAGAGGUGGUGAGACAAAAACACUUGAAUUUGAUAAAUAUAGCUUACCAGUUCAUUUCUUCUCUGCCUGAAGGCCCCUAGUCAUGCCCUCUCUUGAGUUAGAUUGUGUGAACCCCCAUAAAUCAGCCUUACUUUCUUGUAG